AAGAAGCUGGUGAUGAAAAAGUGAAGUUAAAGGUUGAACUGAUUGGAGGAAAUCUUCCAAACGAGAUUUGCGAUAUUUCUUGGAAAAUCCCAAGACUUGGAGGAAAGGUGAAGCUGGAAACCGAAGAGUUUGAGUUUGAUGAGUGCUUGUUCUAUGGUCAAAU
ensembl:snoRNA B0228.10 ncRNA